UGUACAGUUUGUUAUUGAGAUGAUAGCCUUGAGGAUAGGAGAGAGAAUCAUGAGUCACCUUCCAAACAGGUUUGACUGGUGUGAGAUAAUAGUACAAACAUAUUUUAGAAACUGGUCUAAACUAGCCCGUAAGAAAGAGUGGUAGGUGUGGAUUCAAAAAAAGACCGUCACAUGCUAAGGAGAAAGGGAGCUGGACUAACAAGAAACUGUGGCUGCAACUGCCUGCGAAACAAAUACCAUGAGGACUCGCUAUGGAGGCAGCUUUGCCCAAAGAAGAAGGUCAGAGCCAGAACUUUGCAGCCAUGCUAUUCAGUAAUGAAGAUGCAAAUUGUUGUUUAAUAUUCAACUGCUGCUUCCUGUGAAGCCUGUGUGAAUAACAAACAAGAUGAUGCUGAAGAGAGAAAACUCUGACAGUGAUAAGGCAUUUUUAAGUCUGAACAAGUGACAGUGGCAAUGUUAGGAUUUCCUCAGAGAGCUUUUCCACUCGGCUUAGCCAGAACACCUCUCCAGUUCUGGGGAUAAUACUUUAGCCAGCUCUCUCGAAUCCAAGAAAUCAGCUCAACUCUGGACUCAUCACUGAGGUUUCAUUAUUGGCAUACAAUCAAACUACACUUGAGUUGAUCAGGCUCAAGUGUAGCAGGUGGGUACAGGGUAUACCCAGGGGUGAAAGUAACUGAAAGGACUUACUGGUACGCUGGAGUCCUGAGUGGGGGGGCGUGACCUCAACCAGAAGAGGUGGCUGGGGCUGGGAGCCCCAGGGCCUUUAAAUCACCCCAGAGCUACCAGCUGCAGAGGCGGCUGGGAGCCCCGGGGGUUUUGGGGCAAAAUAAAGGGCCCGGGGCCCUUUAAAGCACCUGAGCCUUGCAGCUGG